GCGCCGUUGGUCCAUUGGUAGGAUUCCUGCCUUCCACUAUAAAACUGUCCCUUUAAGGCAACGUGCAAGCAUGAGGACCGGGUUCGAUUCCCGGACGGCGCA
rnacentral:tRNA from 1 species